UCUCGACAAAGGCAAAACCGGUGAAAGCCGGCGACGCAAAGCUAUAGGGGCUACCACGCGACAAAAAUCGUGCAAUGCCAGCCAGCUGCCGAA
rnacentral:ncRNA from 1 species